UGUAGAGUUUGAUCCUGGCUCAGAUUGAACGCUGGCGGCAUGCCUUACACAUGCAAGUCGAACGGUAACAGGUUAAGCUGACGAGUGGCGAACGGGUGAGUAAUGUAUCGGAACGUGCCCAGUCGUGGGGGAUAACUGCUCGAAAGAGCAGCUAAUACCGCAUACGACCUGAGGGUGAAAGCGGGGGAUCGCAAGACCUCGCGCGAUUGGAGCGGCCGAUAUCAGAUUAGGUAGUUGGUGAGGUAAAGGCUCACCAAGCCGACGAUCUGUAGCUGGUCUGAGAGGACGACCAGCCACACUGGGACUGAGACACGGCCCAGACUCCU
rnacentral:rRNA from 1 species